GGAGGGUGAUGCUCUUGUCCAGGCUGCCGUGACCGCUGCCGCGCCCGCCCCGCUCCGCCAUUUUGAACACGACCCGCUCCCUCCCUCACCCCGGCCUCAUCGGCAUGCAAAUCCUUGCAGUGACCUUCCUUGGCUCUGAAUUCCCAGAGAAUUGGCGGCUCGGGCGUGCUGUUAUUUCUGCCUCACAUUGAGAGAGCUGGAGUUUGAUAUUCCUGAGCUAUGGAAAACAGCAUUGCAGAGGUCCCGAUGGACACAGAACUGGGGGAAUUCGGUGUCAAAUCUGAAUAGCUCUGCUUUCACUGGAAUCUAUCUCGUGUCAAUUGACCACAAGGAAACCAGCUGUAAAAACUACUUAAGAAAAGAAUCAAUUUGGAUUGAUUAAACAGAUUUUUAUUUAUUUUUGACCUUUAGAAGUUUCUGCAUCUUCUGAUAUUCAAGAUAACUGUCAUACAUUGGUGCAGCUUGCACAGAACACAUCAUAACAUCCUCCAAGGACAGUAACAAAUUCCCAUUUUCCCCUGGCAAAAGGGUACCAAAAAGAAAUAUAAUCUAUACAUCUGCCUU